GAGUUUGAUCCUGGCUCAGGACGAACGCUGGCGGCGCGCCUAACACAUGCAAGUCGAACGAGCGAGAGAGAGCUUGCUUUCUCAAGCGAGUGGCGAACGGGUGAGUAACGCGUGAGGAGCCUGCCUCAAAGAGGGGGACAACAGUUGGAAACGACUGCUAAUACCGCAUAAGCCCACAGCUCGGCAUCGAGCAGAGGGAAAAGGAGCAAUCCGCUUUGAGAUGGCCUCGCGUCCGAUUAGCUAGUUGGUGAGGUAACGGCCCACCAAGGCAACGAUCGGUAGCCGGACUGAGAGGUUGAACGGCCACAUUGGGACUGAGACACGGCCCAGACUCCUACGGGAGGCAGCAGUGGGGAAUAUUGCACAAUGGGGGAAACCCUGAUGCAGCGACGCCGCGUGGAGGAAGAAGGUCUUCGGAUUGUAAACUCCUGUUGUUGAGGAAGAUAAUGACGGUACUCAACAAGGAAGUGACGGCUAACUACGUGCCAGCAGCCGCGGUAAAACGUAGGUCACAAGCGUUGUCCGGAAUUACUGGGUGUAAAGGGAGCGCAGGCGGGAAGACAAGUUGGAAGUGAAAUCUAUGGGCUCAACCCAUAAACUGCUUUCAAAACUGUUUUUCUUGAGUAGUGCAGAGGUAGGCGGAAUUCCCGGUGUAGCGGUGGAAUGCGUACAUAUCGGGAGGAACACCAGUGGCGAAGGCGGCCUACUGGGCACCAACUGACGCUGAGGCUCGAAAAGUGUGGGUAGCAAACAGGAUUAGAUACCUGGUAGUCCACACGGUAAACGAUGAUUAAUAGGUGUUGGAGGAUUGACCCCUUCAGUGCCGCAGUUAACACAAUAAGUAAUCCACCUGGGGAGUACGACCGCAAGGUUGAAACUCAAAGGAAUUGACGGGGGCCCGCACAAGCAGUGGAGUAUGUGGUUUAAUUCGACGCAACGCGAAGAACCUUACCAAGUGUUGACAUCCCUUGACGAACAUAGAAAUAUGUUUUCUCUUCGGAGCAAGGAGACAGGUGGUGCAUGGUUGUCGUCAGCUCGUGUCGUGAGAUGUUGGGUUAAGUCCCGCAACGAGCGCAACCCUUACUGUCAGUUACUACGCAAGAGGACUCUGGCAGGACUGCCGUUGACAAAACGGAGGAAGGUGGGGAUGACGUCAAAUCAUCAUGCCCUUUAUGACUUGGGCUACACACGUACUACAAUGGCGUUAAACAAAGAGAAGCAAGACCGCGAGGUGGAGCAAAACUCAGAGACAACGUCCCAGUUCGGACUGCAGGCUGCAACUCGCCUGCACGAAGUCGGAAUUGCUAGUAAUCGUGGAUCAGCAUGCCACGGUGAAUACGUUCCCGGGCCUUGUACACACCGCCCGUC
rnacentral:rRNA from 1 species